rnacentral:rRNA from 1 species
CCCUUAGAUGUUCUGGGCCGCACGCGCGCUACACUGAUGCAUUCAACAAGCCUAGCCUUGACCGAGAGGUCCGGGUAAUCUUUGAAACUGCAUCGUGAUGGGGCUAGAUUAUUGCAAUUAUUAAUCUUCAACGAGGAAUGCCUAGUAAGCGUGAUUCAUCAAAUCGCGUUGAUUACGUCCCUGCCCUUUGUACACACCGCCCGUCGCUCCUACCGAUUGAAUGUGUUGGUGAGGAGCUCGGAUUGGCAGCAGUUGGUGGUUCGCCACCGGCUAUUGCUUAGAAGUCCUCCAAACCGCCCCAUUUAGAGGGAGGAGAAGUCGUAACA